AUGCAGGCUAUUUCUUGAUGUGAUCUCAAGCACAUGUACAUAAUGAGACAAGAGAAUCUUUUGACUGCAUAUUCAAACUGGUGUUAUUUUUCAGGAAUUUUUAAUGUCUAAUAUUGCUGAAUGAGGAUAAUUUGAGUUAAGAUGAGACAUUUUUGGGCAGGAAUAGCAGGGAAAUAUUCAUUAAAAUGCAUAGGAAUUACUAAGCUUUUCAUAAUCAAGCCUUGAGGAAUACUUGGCCUUGGAAUCAGGAGUUGCUCAAUGUCUAUGCCCUAGGAAAGUCUCCUGGAAAGGGCACCUCAGCUUAUGCACUAUACAGGGAGGUUAUUAGCAGGGAGGCAAAUUCUGUUCACUAUGAUAUCAGAUGUCCCUUCUUGGAAAUUCUAUGGUUUCCUAGAGAGUUCUUGGCAUCCUCUGUGAUGUCACCAGGGUUGUAGUAACAACCAGUGCCCUACUUUUUCUCAGUCCCUGCCUGGCAGAUACAUAGGAAGACACGUUUUCCCAUCUUCCCAAGAAUUUUGGGAGAAUGAAUGGCGAUUUUCGACAGAGUAGUGUGAGGCAAUCUGGCCUUUCAUCAAAAAAAAAAAAAAAUAAUGGACAAAAGAAACAAGUCUGGGGAAUGUGGAGUAAGUUCUGUGAAUUGUAUUCUGAGCUUUCUGUCAGAUGGACUAUAGGUUUAGGCUGAUAUUUCUAACAAUGGGCCACAACUACUGGACCAUCUGCAACGGAAUUAAAUUUCCAUGGAGAUCACAAUUCCUGAGAGUCAAAGAUUUCAGAACAUUAGUUUUCCCAUCCCCAAGGGAGGAUAUGCUUCCACCCUAGUCCUGCGUGCUAUGGAGAAAGAAAAUAACGAACCCCAGUUGCACUUGAAGUUUACCCACCAACAAGAAGAGAGCCUGGUGAGGACCUUUUAAGUAACUAUAAGCCACAGUCUCUACACAGCUUCCUCCACUUAUUCAAUUAUUAGAAUAUUUUCAUUAAUGCUCACCUUAUUUUUGGUGUACAAAGAAUAUGCACCAUGUCAGUAAAGUAUAUGUAUAUGUAUGUAUGUAUGUAUGUGUGUGUGUGUGUGUGUGUGUGUGUGUGUGUGUGUAUGUUCCUGUCUAUGUUUGAGCCUGUUCUUCCAUGAACUCACUAUAAAAUUUUAUAAAAUGACUUAGAAGACUGUAGUGAAAACUGUCCAGGUUCAUGCAAACAUGCAUUACUACUGUCCCAUGGUACCUUGCAGAUAACACUGAUACUGUGGACUACUUUAAUACAGCCUAAGUCCGGGCUCUGCAUGGUACUCAUUGACAUUUUGACGUCGGAACCACGACAGAAAUCAGCAAAAGGUUCAUUUAUUACAUGCUGUUGUUACUAAGGUGAGGCAAGGCCUCGCCCCAUAUUAGAGACUGGUAGGAUGUGAUGGCAGUACAUAAACUCGCUUUUCCCUGUCCUGUGUGUCUUUGCCUGCAGAGGUCUCUCCUGCAGGAAAUACUUUCACAUGCUUCUUUAAAAGCACCUGUUCCUCACAUCUAGAUCAGCUGUGAAAAGAGGCUUCUCCAAGUCAGUCUGAGUGCUCCCACUACCAACUCAGAGCUGCAACACCAUAGGAUCCUCCAGCCACAAUGAAG
rnacentral:lncRNA from 1 species